rfam:Picea glauca, whole genome shotgun sequence.
GAAAUGGUGUCUUUAGACACCACUAAUCUUGUUUGAAGUUUAUUA